rfam:Schistosoma mansoni strain Puerto Rico chromosome 1, complete genome
ACCCAACUGACGAGUCUCAAAUAAGACGAAACACGCAACCUGGAU